AGCGAACGCUGGCGGCAUGCCUAACACAUGCAAGUCGCACGGGGGGGCUUCGGCCUCCCAGUGGCGGACGGGUGAGGAACGCGUAGGGACCUGUCGAGGGGUGGGGGAUAACCGCGGGAAACUGCGGCUAAUACCGCAUGACGCCGCGGCGUGACAGCCGGGGCCAAAGGCGAAAGCCGCCCGCCGAGGGGCCUGCGUCCGAUUAGCUGGUUGGCGGGGUGGCGGCCCACCAAGGCGUCGAUCGGUAGCUGGUCUGAGAGGGUGAUCAGCCACACCGGGACUGAGACACGGCCCGGACUCCUACGGGAGGCAGCAGUGGGGAAUAGUGGACAGUGGGCGCAAGCCUGAUCCAGCAAUGCCGCGUGGGUGAAGAAGGUCUUCGGAUUGUAAAGCCCUUUCGGCGGGGACGAUGGUGACGGUACCCGCAGAAGAAGCCCCGGCUAACUUCGUG
rnacentral:rRNA from 1 species